rnacentral:lncRNA from 1 species
UUAAGAUUUUGUUUGAUUUUAAUCAUAUUGUUUGAGAACUCUAAAAGAGGAAAUGCCAGUUCCAAGUAUAAAUGAACAAACUAAAGACCAGUUCGUUUUAUGGAGACAGAGAGGGGGAGGUCUAAUAAGCAGGAUAUCUCCCACCAGGAGGCUGCAAAGCUGCAUCUCCCUCUUUCAAAUGUAUAGUGAAAGUUCAAAUGAGAAAAGGAGUCUUCUAGAUAUUACACCUGCUGCCUGCUUUACUAGUUAGAAAAUAGCUAUCCAAAUAAGAAGAAAAUGCAGAAACUUGUUUACAGCAUCAGUAUCUCCUAGAUAAUUAUUUUCUUGUUAUAUUUUAAACACAUGUAUCAUCCAUAAGAAAUUCAAUUGUCAUAUUGUGCAUAUUCAGUCAUGCACAUACAAAGUAGAAGUGAAAGACCUGACUGUUUAUUUUCAGUGAAUUUUUCUUUUACAGUUUACUGUAACUGGAGGUAGAUGUAAUAUUUAGGGAUUUUCUUCCAGUGAUUUGAAAUAAUAGUUGUCUGUGAACAUUAGGACAGAGUACUAAUACUGGAAUCAGUGGUUAAAAGUUAAGCCUACAUAAACAUGCAAAUAAAACAACAAAAAAUAAAUCACAGCAGGUUAUAUGAUGAUUGUCGGUACAGUACAGUACAGAUCUUGGAGGAAAGUCUGUUUCUGUGCUGUCAAAAUAGUAAUGCAAGUACUGCAAAAAAAUAUGUAUACUACUUGAAAAGAUAUACAAGAUUCUGAGUAUUACAACUAUGCCAUUCAUAUUAUUUCUCAUGUAUCUCAAACCAUCAAGUUGAAGGGAAUUACAGGGCAAAAGAGUCUGUAAUCUGCUAUGCAUUAAUAAUAUUUCUGAUCCUGCAGGCAGGAGUUUCAUUUCAUAUAACUGUAUGAAAACGGAUGCUGCCAUUGUCAGGACUUUCGCCGUAACCAAGUAUAUCAGCCUCACUUUCAGAGUUGUUAAAUUCGUCCUUUUUAGUAGAUGCCUUUGUGGCAGUAAUGGAAGCUCCCAGCAA